CACGCCGUAAACGAUGAUAACUAGCUGUCCGGGCACUUGGUGCUUGGGUGGCGCAGCUAACGCAUUAAGUUAUCCGCCUGGGGAGUACGGCCGCAAGGUUAAAACUCAAAGAAAUUGACGGGGGCCUGCACAAGCGGUGGAGCAUGUGGUUUAAUUCGAAGCAACGCGCAGAACCUUACCAACGUUUGACAUCCUGAUCGCGGUUACCAGAGAUGGUUUCCUUCAGUUCGGCUGGAUCAGUGACAGGUGC
rnacentral:rRNA from 1 species